CCGGGGCUUCUCCCGAU
rnacentral:tRNA from 1 species